CAGUCUUACCUGCGGAUAAUCAGCCUUUAGGAUGCGAUUUUGUGGAGCGUGAGGAGCUAAUCGCCUUCAUGCCUAUAUAUUCGUGUACUUGGGGUGUACUUAUUCGUGAGGUAAGUUAACAUCAAUUUUGGUCGUCAUAAAAUGGCUGGAGGAAUGUAGCUUCGAUCUCGUAUUGAAGUGUUAUAGUCUUCGGCAGAUGUGAUGAGUCGGGAUUGGAGGUAUUG
rnacentral:rRNA from 1 species